rnacentral:rRNA from 1 species
CCUACGGGAGGCAGCAGUGAGGAAUAUUGGUCAAUGGGCGUGAGCCUGAACCAGCCAAGUCGCGUGAAGGAUGACUGCCCUAUGGGUUGUAAACUUCUUUUAUAAGGGAAUAAAACGCGGCACGUGUGCCUUUUUGUAUGUACCUUAUGAAUAAGGAUCGGCUAACUCCGUGCCAGCAGCCGCGGUAAUACGGAGGAUCCGAGCGUUAUCCGGAUUUAUUGGGUUUAAAGGGAGCGUAGGUGGGUUGUUAAGUCAGUUGUGAAAGUUUGCGGCUCAACCGUAAAAUUGCCGUUGAUACUGGCAGUCUUGAGUACAGUUGAGGUAGGCGGAAUGCGUGGUGUAGCGGUGAAAUGCUUAGAUAUCACGAAGAACCCCGAUUGCGAAGGCAGCUUACUAAGCCGUGACUGACACUGAUGCACGAAAGUGUGGGUAUCAAACAGGAUUAGAUACCCGAGUAGUC